GGCAAACAUUAAGCUCAUUUCCCCUCUCUUCAACAAGCAGAGCACAAAAGUUGUCACUCUUCUUCACUUUGACCUGAUUUUUCAUCAAUUCUGUGGAGCUUAGCAGAAGCUAAACACAUAGCAUAUCGAUGGAACACAGAAGUUGUGGAGCUUUGCAAGGAUAUUAAUCUGAUUGAAAUGGAGGCUUUCUUCUUCAACUGCUGGAGGUUCUCUUCUUCAAUCUUUGAGAAGACCAUACGUUGUCACCAUCUUCUCUUGGACCUAUUUUUCAACAAAAAGAACACAAUUUCAGGGCAAGCUUAUGGGGUUUUGUAGGGAUUUGAAUCUUAUGCUGAAGGUUCUGUUCUGACAUCUUUGAGGUUAUAGCUGAAGAAACUUCAAGUUUGAGCUGUUAAGGUGGAGAAGAUAACCAAGGGGAUGAUGAAAGCAGUGAUGAAGACCUUAUUACUUGAUCUAAUUGAUUGAAAGAUGUAGAAAUCUAUUGCUUUAGCUCGACUCUUUUGCUUCUUGACAUUUUGAAACUUUUGUUAAGCUACAAUAUUUUGUUUUAGUUUCUAUUAGUAUGGAACUUGUGCAAACUAUUGAAAACA